rnacentral:lncRNA from 1 species
CGUCUGAGGCGCGUCGGGAACAAACAAAGUGAGUAGGAUACUUCGCAUCCGCACGGGUCUCGGGAAUCAGCGAAAGGACCUUUCCACUUCUCGAGAAGGAAUCCCAACCGUCGCACGCCAAAAGAAGAUGAAACGACAGAGGAAUUCGAAUCGCCAAAAACUUUAAAGGGACCGAACUGUUCAAAGUAAACGGCUCGGCCUAAAUGUCAUAAAGCUCAUCACGCUUGGUUCUCCAAACU